rnacentral:misc_RNA from 1 species
GAUGAAGAACGCAGCGAAAUGCGAUAAGUAAUGUGAAUUGCAGAAUUCAGUGAAUCAUCGAAUCUUUGAACGCACAUUGCGCCCGCCAGUAUUCUGGCGGGCAUGCCUGUUCGAGCGUCAUUUCAACCAUCAAGCCCCCGGCUUGUGUUGGGGACCUGCGGCUGCCGCAGGCCCUGAAAACCAGUGGCGGGCUCGCUAGUCACUCCGAGCGUAGUAAUACAUCUCGCUCUGGGCGUGCUGCGGGUUCCGGCCGUUAAACCACCUUUUAACCCAAGGUUGACCUCGGAUCAGGUAGGAAGACCCGCUGAACUUAAGCAUAUCAAUAAGCGGAGGA